rnacentral:rRNA from 1 species
UUGGUCAAUGGGGGAAACCCUGAACCAGCAACGCCGCGUGAGGGAUGACGGUCUUCGGAUUGUAAACCUCUGUCCUCUGUGAAGAUAGUGACGGUAGCUAAGGAGCAAGCCACGGCUAACUACGUGCCAGCAGCCGCGGUAAUACGUAGGUGGCAAGCGUUGUCCGGAAUUACUGGGUGUAAAGGGAGCGCAGGCGGGAAGCCAAGUCAGCUGUGAAAACUACAGGCUUAACUUGUAGACUGCAGUUGAAACUGGUUUUCUUGAGUGAAGUAGAGGUUGGCGGAAUUCCGAGUGUAGCGGUGAAAUGCGUAGAUAUUCGGAGGAACACCGGUGGCGAAGGCGGCCAACUGGGCUUUAACUGACGCUGAGGCUCGAAAGUGUGGGGAGC